rnacentral:rRNA from 1 species
ACGGGUGAGUAACGCGUGGGUAACCUGCCUUACACAGGGGGAUAACAGUUAGAAAUGACUGCUAAUACCGCAUAAGACCCCGGUACCGCAUGGUACAGAGGUAAAAACUGAGGUGGUGUAAGAUGGACUCGCGUCUGAUUAGGUAGUUGGUGAGGUAACGGCUCACCAAGCCGACGAUCAGUAGCCGGCCUGAGAGGGUGGACGGCCACAUUGGGACUGAGACACGGCCCAGACUCCUACGGGAGGCAGCAGUGGGGAAUAUUGCACAAUGGGGGAAACCCUGAUGCAGCGACGCCGCGUGAGCGAUGAAGUAUUUCGGUAUGUAAAGCUCUAUCAGCAGGGAAGAAAAUGACGGUACCUGACUAAGAAGCCCCGGCUAACUACGUGCCAGCAGCCGCGGUAAUACGUAGGGGGCAAGCGUUAUCCGGAUUUACUGGGUGUAAAGGGAGCGUAGACGGCAUGGCAAGCCAGAUGUGAAAUACCGGGGCUCAACCCCGGGACUGCAUUUGGAACUGUUAAGCUGGAGUGUCGGAGAGGCAGGCGGAAUUCCUAGUGUAGCGGUGAAAUGCGUAGAUAUUAGGAGGAACACCAGUGGCGAAGGCGGCCUGCUGGACGAUAACUGACGUUGAGGCUCGAAAGCGUGGGGAGCAAACA